CAGGAUUAGGAAUGAACAUAGAGGGACAGCUCAGGUGGGACGGUUUGGAAACACAGUCAGAGGGGCGAGACUGAGAUGUUUUGAACAUGUGCAGAAGAGG